rnacentral:rRNA from 1 species
UACGAAGGGUGCAAGCGUUAAUCGGAAUUACUGGGCGUAAAGCGUGCGUAGGUGGUUUCUUAAGUCUGCUGUGAAAGCCCUUGGCUCAACUGAGGAAGUGCACCCGAAACUGAGUGGCUAGAGUACGAAAGAGGGUCGCGGAAUUCCCGGUGUAGAGGUGAAAUUCGUAGAUAUCGGGAGGAACACCGGUGGCGAAGGCGGGUCUCUGGGCCGUAACUGACGCUGAGGAGCGAAAGCAUGGGGAGCGAACAGG